AUAACCGCUGAAAGCAUCUAAGCGGGAAACUUGCCUCAAGAUGAGACUUCCCGGGACGUCAAGUCCCCUGAAGGUUCGCCGAAGACGACGGCGUGGAUAGGUCGGGUGUGGAAGCGCAGUAAUGCGUUCAGCUAACCGAUACUAAUUGACCGUGCGGCUUGAUCCU
rnacentral:rRNA from 1 species